rnacentral:lncRNA from 1 species
AGAAGCCAAUCAAUGACAAGUACGUUGUAAGGUUGAUGAGAAAUGCUACAGUAACCCAUACCAUAAUACAUUUUCAUAACAGCAGCUGGCGAAACUAUUACUUCAACAGGCAGGACAAGUCCGGAACAACAACAUAACAGUCAUAGCCAGUAAACGACGCUUGUGUUUCAAGGCAAAUUACUGGGUACGAAACAGAUACAGUAGAAACUGUACGAUCUGUACAACAUGGUAUGACUUCUGAUAAAAGGUAAGAUUUACUAGUUCUUUAAAGUCUUUAACAUUAGAACAAAAUAUUCAAACCUUUUAGUUUCUGUAUACAAGAAAAACAGUACAAUAUAUAACAAUGCUCCACGGUCUUAUCACUGCUUGUUUCAUAUAUAUAAUUCGUAUAUAUAACUUAUGUAGCCUACAACAUAAUGUUCGUUGAACAUUGUAGUAAUGCAUUACCGAUUAUAUUCAGGUGUAUGUCAAUGUAUUUUUUUGUAAACAAAAAUUGACAAAAAGAAAUGACUUUUUUGACAUAGUACUGUGUAAAUACCAUUAAUAUAUACCAUUCAAGAGAAUACCAUUCAUAACCAUGGUUCAUAGUAUUACCAUCUGAUACGAUCACUGUAUGGUAUCACCACACUGCAUUUAGAUAAGAAUAAUCAGUUUUUAAUUAAAGAAUUUCUUAUUCUUUUUAUUUUAAUGAAAUAAUUAUGCUUUAUAUGAUCACAUAGUGUAAUAGUGAUUUUUGUUUUGUGUAUUUAUAUGAUGACUUGUAACAUUUCCCCUACAGCCAGCUCCUACGUGGUGCGCAAGAUCCGCUCUGCCCUUAAAGAGGGAGAGCAAACAGAACAACCUGUGCUUGCACCAUGUAGUCUGGCAAAAGGUAAAAAGGAGCGCUAUGCAUCAGAUGCAGCAUUAAUGCCCGCUCCAGAACCUGAGGGUGCUGCUGGGUCAUCUGCAUCUACAAGGAGAGCUGUACAGAAAUGUGGUUCCUGAGGUUAAAGGUCACGCAAAAGCAAAUCUGGGCACGACAGAGGCUGAUAAAAACAGCAUUGCUGGACACCAGCAUAUGUUGUGUUUUGAAUGCUGGUCUGCUGGUGUUCCAACAAGGCCAUCUAAGCUGGUCUUUCAAGUAGAGAUUUUAGAAGCGGAAGGCAGAUUGUGAUAAAGAUCUGACAUCAGUCCAGUUUUGCUCUGCGUGACCUUUUGUUCUUAGGUGCCAACACGUGCUCCUUCUCUCUUUUUUUGUCUCUCUCUUUUUCUGUUUCCCAUCUGCUGUAGUUUGUGAAGGUCUGUUCAUCAACCUCUGCCUCAGGGGCGGUUCAGAUCUGAUGUUUUCCUGCAGCUUUUGUAUUUAUACUCACCAACUAACUGACUGUACACUGACUAAAGACAUAUCACUGUCAGUAAAAAUAACAGCUGAUGCUGUUUAUACGAUUAUGUAAUUUUUGUAAUGACAAAAAUAACUAAUAAAACAGUCCAGUCUAAAAAACAUUAAAUUAGCAUUGUUCUGUAAUCUCUGGUACAUCUGUACUAACUUGUCCUAUCUAGGAAGUUAUAUUCUUUGAUCAGAUAAACACAUUUCUGUAUUUUUAUGAUGACAUCAUUCCUCGACAGGGUUAGAGAUGAUCUCUACAAUUAAAGGAUUUACUUAACAUGUUUCUUUGAAAAUGGAAUAUAUGCAUUUUAUCAUAUAUUUUAUCCCAAUAGAUUAAUUCAGGAAUUAAAGUGGGAUUUAGAUAAAUACUCAGGGUGUCAUAGUGAUCAUCACAGCAUGAGAUAGGAGACAUUAUUGCAGAAAAAAAAUAAUGACUGGAAAUUAUUUGCAGUAUAUAAUAUAAUAUACAAGGAGUCUAUGUAUAUAUGUUUGUAUAUAUAUUAUGGUGCAUCAAAUAAUCAAAUGUAUAAAGACAGCAAAUGUGCAAAAUAUGGGGGGAAAAAUGAAUAAUAUCUACCGGGUCCACAUGUGAUGCAAAAUAUUGUUACAAGGUCGAUAAUAAGCAGGUUUUAACAGAACAAAAAGAAUAAAAACCAGUUUCUGGCAGUGUUGGAUCAUUUUUUCUUUUUUUUUUCUUUAUGUUUUAUGUUAAAGCAAACUCAGCAAAUAGGUAUUAAUAAUGUUAAUAAUAGUCCUACAGUAGAGUUGCCUUGGUUUUUCUCAGUGCCUUCUGUGGAUCUUCAGAUAUUGAAAACUAUAAAGUAUAAACAAAAUCAAGUUCCUAAAGCGAUAGUACAGAAGAUUUAAUUUUGAGGUGGACCCUCGUGGAACCGUGUUCUUCUUUUCCGGAAACACUUGAUCACCUAUUCUUUUACUGUGAGGUUACUUCUAAAUUCUGGUUUUAUAUUCAUCGUUGGUUAUCAGUAAAAUGGAAAUGAUUCCCCAAUUGUUUUGCUAGACAUCCUCUUUUUUAAGUGUGACUUAAAUUCUCAUUUCUCAGAUGUUAUCAACUUUGUUUUAUUGCUGGGUAAAUAAUUAUCAUAUUCAUACAUGCAAAUGGAGAAAAUGUAAGCCCUCCUUUAAUAUAUUUCUUUGUGAGUUUGUGAAAAUGUUUCAGAGCUUCAAAUAUUAAAAAAAAAACUAAAUCGAAAGUCUGAAACUCUGUUUCUCUCUCAAAAUAUUAUUUUAGUGUAUUCUUCUUUGAUGUCUUUAUGCACUUCUUGUAUCGACUCUUGCUCCUUGUGUUUUUUUUUUCUUCUCCUCGUUGCUAUUUUUGGUGUGAAUGUAAUUAUUAUUUAUGUUUAUUAUUAUUAUCAUUGGUGGAUGUGCCUUGUUGGAUGUUCCCUGUCUUGUAGUGUACUGUACAAUUUGCAAUAAUAAUAAUAACAAUAAUAAUAAUAAUAAAAAUAUAUUAGAUUAUAUAGUUUAUUUUGUGUUAUAUUAUACAUCUGUUUUAGGGUGCAACAGUUUUUCAGUUCCAGCAUGACAAUGCCCCUCUACAAUGGUGUGGAAAUGUAAACCAGAACAAAGCCCAGACCUGAAACAUAUUUAACGCCUUUGGGAUGAAUGUGAGACAGAUCGUCUGUCAGUGCCUGAUCUCACUGAUGAUCUUAUGUCUGAAUGGGACCAAAUAUCCACUGCUAUGUUCCAACACACAAUAAAAAAGCUUUACAUGAAGACGCUUUUAGAGAGGACUUACUCCGUAUAACGCCA